AGAGUUUGAUCCUGGCUCAGGACGAACGCUGGCGGCGCGCCUAACACAUGCAAGUCGAACGAGCGAGAGAGAGCUUGCUUUCUCGAGCGAGUGGCGAACGGGUGAGUAACGCGUGAGGAACCUGCCUCAAAGAGGGGGACAACAGUUGGAAACGACUGCUAAUACCGCAUGAGCCCACGGGUCGGCAUCGACCAGAGGGAAAAGGAGCAAUCCGCUUUGAGAUGGCCUCGCGUCCGAUUAGCUAGUUGGUGAGGUAACGGCCCACCAAGGCAACGAUCGGUAGCCGGACUGAGAGGUUGAACGGCCACAUUGGGACUGAGACACGGCCCAGACUCCUACGGGAGGCGGCAGUGGGGAAUAUUGCACAAUGGAGGAAACUCUGAUGCAGCGAUGCCGCGUGAGGGAAGAAGGUUUUAGGAUUGUAAACCUCUGUCUUCAGGGACGAAAAAAGACGGUACCUGAGGAGGAAGCUCCGGCUAACUACGUGCCAGCAGCCGCGGUAAUACGUAGGGAGCGAGCGUUGUCCGGAAUUACUGGGUGUAAAGGGAGCGUAGGCGGGAUCGCAAGUCAGAUGUGAAAACUAUGGGCUUAACCCAUAAACUGCAUUUGAAACUGUGGUUCUUGAGUGAAGUAGAGGUAAGCGGAAUUCCUAGUGUAGCGGUGAAAUGCGUAGAUAUUAGGAGGAACAUCAGUGGCGAAGGCGGCUUACUGGGCUUUAACUGACGCUGAGGCUCGAAAGCGUGGGGAGCAAACAGGAUUAGAUACCCUGGUAGUCCACGCCGUAAACGAUGAUUACUAGGUGUGGGGGGACUGACCCCUUCCGUGCCGCAGCAAACGCAAUAAGUAAUCCACCUGGGGAGUACGACCGCAAGGUUGAAACCCAAAGGAAUUGACGGGGGCCCGCACAAGCAGUGGAGUAUGUGGAUUAAUUCGAAGCAACGCGAAGAACCUUACCAGGUCUUGACAUCGUAUGCAUAGCUCAGAGAUGAGUGAAAUCUCUUCGGAGACAUAUAGACAGGUGGUGCAUGGUUGUCGUCAGCUCGUGUCGUGAGAUGUUGGGUUAAGUCCCGCAACGAGCGCAACCCUUACUGUUAGUUGCUACGCAAGAGCACUCUAGCAGGACUGCCGUUGACAAAACGGAGGAAGGUGGGGAUGACGUCAAAUCAUCAUGCCCCUUAUGACCUGGGCCUCACACGUACUACAAUGGCUGUCAACAGAGGGAAGCAAAGCCGCGAGGUGGAGCGAACCCCUAAAAGCAGUCUUAGUUCGGAUUGUAGGCUGCAACCCGCCUACAUGAAGUCGGAAUUGCUAGUAAUCGCAGAUCAGCAUGCUGCGGUGAAUACGUUCCCGGGCCUUGUACACACCGCCCGUCACGCCAUGGGAGUCGGUAACACCCGAAGCCUGUAGUCUAACCGCAAGGAGGACGCAGUCGAAGGUGGGAUUGAUGACUGGGGUGAAGUCGUAACAAGGUA
rnacentral:rRNA from 1 species